GACGAACGCUGGCGGCGUGCUUAACACAUGCAAGUCGAACGGAAAGGCCCUGCUUUUGUGUGGUGCUCGAGUGGCGAACGGGUGAGUAACACGUGAGUAACCUGCCCUUGACUUUGGGAUAACUUCAGGAAACUGGGGCUAAUACCGGAUAGGAGCUCCUGCUGCAUGGUGGGGGUUGGAAAGUUUCGGCGGUUGGGGAUGGACUCGCGGCUUAUCAGCUUGUUGGGGGGGUAGUGGCUUACCAAGGCUUUGACGGGUAGCCGGCCUGAGAGGGUGACCGGCCACAUUGGGACUGAGAUACGGCCCAGACUCCUACGGGAGGCAGCAGUGGGGAAUAUUGCACAAUGGGCGGAAGCCUGAUGCAGCAACGCCGCGUGCGGGAUGACGGCCUUCGGGUUGUAAACCGCUUUCGCCUGUGACGAAGCGUGAGUGACGGUAAUGGGUAAAGAAGCACCGGCUAACUACGUG
rnacentral:rRNA from 1 species